UACGAAGGGGGCUAGCGUUGCUCGGAAUCACUGGGCGUAAAGCGCACGUAGGCGGACUCUUAAGUCGGUGGUGAAAUCCUGGAGCUCAACUCCAGAACUGCCUUCGAUACUGAGAGUCUCGAGUCCGAGAGAGGUGAGUGGAACUGCGAGUGUAGAGGUGAAAUUCGUAGAUAUUCGCAAGAACACCAGUGGCGAAGGCGGCUCACUGGACCGGAACUGACGCUGAGGCGCGAAAAGCGUGGGGAGCAAACGGG
rnacentral:rRNA from 1 species